ACGGAAGGCAGCAGUAGGGAAUAUUGCACAAUGGGGGAAACCCUGAUGUAGCAACGCCACGUGUGGGAAGAAGCAUUUCGGUGUGUAAACCACUGUCGUGAGGGAAUAAAGCUGGAGUUGUCCAGUUGAAUGUACCUCGAAAGGAAGCACCGGCAAACUUCGUGCCAGCAGCCGCGGUAAUACGAGGGGUGCAAGCGUUGUUCGGAAUCACUGGGCGUAAAGGGAGCGCAGGCGGAAGUGCAAGCGGUCUGUACAAUACCGGGGCCCAACCCCGGACCUGCAGACCGGACUGCAGUUCUUGGAUAGUUCAGGGGCAAGCGGAAUUCCUGGUGUAGCGGUGGAAUGCGUAGAGAUCAGGAAGAACACCGAUGGCGAAGGCAGCUUGCUGGGGACUUAUCGACGCUCAUGCUCGAAAGUGCGGGUAGCAAACAGGAUUAGAUACCCUGGUA
rnacentral:rRNA from 1 species